GUUAACCUUUUGAGCAAUGUCUACCACUCAGCCCCAGUCCCUGCCCCUUCCCAGGCUGGGUUCCCGGGACAGUGGGACGGCGUUAGUCACUAUUAACUUCCUACACUUAGCGGUGCUUUAUUCUCAGUGAGUUGCUGGUGGGCACAGCUGCAGUAAUGCUGACUCCCGCCCCCAUGUUUUUACAGUUUAUUCAUGUUAUUCUCUGGCAUGUGAUCCAAGUUCCCUGCUAAAGGGAAACUUGUCCCUGUGAGAAGCAUCCCUCCAUAUCAUCUGGGUUCUGCACCAUCACCUCUUGGGUUCCUCUCCCAGAAAACUGUUCUGAUGCAGAAGCCACUGGAGUCAGGACAGGAGGAGCACCCGCCAGACUCUCCCUUGAAACCAUUCCUCGCUGGCCUGGCUCUCCCACCUCUGCUUCACCUACAGCUCUCCUCCGGCUCUGGGUUCUAGGUCCCAGGCCACAUCUUCCCAGGGCAAGGAUGAGGGAACUGAGGUUUAGAGAGAUGACUAACUUGCCCAGUGCCUCACACUUGUGUGAAGGAGCAGGCAUCAAACCCAAGUGAUAACUGCACCCUCAUGCUCCUCCCACCUUGCUUGCCAAGGCCUGCGCCUGGUUCCAGUUACACGGGAAAGUCCAUCUUCAUGAUCAAAGCUUAGCUUCAAGGGUCAUCUCAUCAGCACAGCCUCCAAUGUCCACUCUCUUCAUCUCAGGAGGCCAGAGAGCAACCUCCACCUAACUGAAGCCAAGUGCAGCCCAAGCAUUUAGUCCAAAAUAGCAAAGCUGACUCAUCAGGCCACUCUGUGACAGCCACUGUUGUCUAACUCAGCACACAUGUUCAUCCUUACCCAGCAUGACAGUCUUAAGGCACAUGUGAUUAGCAUUGAGCCCUCAAAGUAUCUUUUUAUGUCUCAUGAUUUAUUAAAAACCUUAAUAUCCUUCUGU